rnacentral:rRNA from 1 species
UACGUGAGGGGCGAACGUUGUUCGGUGUCACUGGGCUUAAAGGGUGCGUAGGUGGUUGCGUAAGUAAGGUGUGAAAUCCCUCGGCUUACCCGGGGAAUUGCAUUUUAUACUGCGUGGCUUGAGGACUAAAGGGGAAAAGGGAACUCCAGGUGUAGCGGUGAAAUGCGCAGAUAUCUGGGGGAAGGCCGGCGGCGAAGGCGCUUUUCUGGUUAGUACCUGACACUGAGGCACGAAAGCGUGGGGAGCAACAGG